AUUAAGAUGACAGACUAGUGUGAAGGAUUUAAGAUCCUUUUAUGAAAAUUUAUUUUCUCUUAAUAUA
rnacentral:tRNA from 1 species